AGGAGCAACAGCCCCAGUGGCGGGGCCAGCUCUGCAGCCCUGGAUUCAGCUCCGGCAGGAACUCCGGAGCUCUCCGUCUGCAGGGCCUGGAGGCUCCGGGGCGGG
rnacentral:pre_miRNA from 1 species